rnacentral:rRNA from 1 species
GACGAACCGUGCGAACGUUAUUCGGAAUCAUUGGGCUUAAAGGGCGCGUAGGCGGCGACGUAAGUUGGAAGUGAAAUCCCAUCGGCUCAACCGUGGAGUUGCUCCCAGUACUGCGUUGCUUGAGCGAGAUAGGGGCCUGUGGAACUGCCGGUGGAGCGGUGAAAUGUGUUGAUAUCGGCGGGAACGCCAGUGCCGAAAGGGACAGGCUGGACCUUUGCUGACGCUGAAGCGCGAAAGCUAGGGUAGCGAACGGG